UCAUUUAUCAACCUAUCACUUUUCAACAGUCUUCUUCUUCGUCGUGAAUGUUGCACAUUUUCAAAUGGGGAAUAUGUGAAAUCUGGGAUUUCAGAAUUGGAGAAGUGGAUAGCCAAUGUAAAGGAGGAGUUUGCAGGAACAUCUUGGCAUGAGUUAAAUUACAUAAGACAAGCUGUUGGAUUCUUGGUAAAACUC